UCCAAUAUAGGACAAUGUCCAAAAAUUUCAUUUCCCUCCAUUUCCCAUUCAUCCUCUUUUAAGUAUUUAAUUUAUUAAUUAAUUACAUAAACCCAACAGGAACUUAAUCCAAAAUCAAAGAUCUCGGGUCAGCGUAGAUGUCUCUACUAACUUUUUGUAUUUUCAGCUCCUCAAUCAAUUCAGCUUUUUCUCACUCCAGCUUCUCCUUUCCUAGUUUCAACCUCUCAACUUCUUGCUCCACCUCAAUUUGCCGUACCAUAUUCUGGAGGCCAAAUCAAUAGAUGCAUCCAGCAUCGCUAACAACAUUCUCAGUUAACUAGUUAGCUCGCGCCUUCCAAUCUUCAGCACUUCAGCUUCAACUUUUAGAUCCUUAAUUCUCUGUAGAAAAAAAGAAAAUAAGACAUUAGCAACUCUUACUCAUAAACCCUCAUCCUGAACCGACCCCAACUCCCACAGAAAAUCAAAAUUUAGCAAUUAAUCACAAAUUUUAAUUAACUUGUCACAACUCGAAUUUUCUGCCAUUGGAAAUUGUGAUUGCACCUACUAAUGUGAGCUAGGCAAGCUAACUAUGGAAAUAACUUACCUUUUUACCCAUUUUAUAUUCAUUAACAAUUAGAAAUCAUCACUAAGGCAUGAAAGAUACAACAAGAAUCAAGAUAUUUGCAAUUUAAAGACUCACGGUCAUGCUAGACACCAACGUAUAGAUACUCGUAACCAUGUCUAUACGUCGUACUCAAUAAUAAUCACGUAGCAAAUAGGACUCGACUCCUAAUCCCUCAAACUAAGGUUAAAUCAAACACUUACCUCAAACUUCCACUGCCAAUUCAAUCCACAACGACCACUUUCCCUCCUCCAAAUCAAUCAAUUCUAUAAUUAAGCAUACUCCCUUAAUUUAAUACCACGAGUUAUCCAUCAACUGAAUCCUUAAUAAUGUAAAUUCAAACAAGUGAUUCUUUAUCCUUAAUCUCUCUUUUAGAAGAAAAAAAAGAGAUUAACAACUCUUACUCACAAAGCCUGAUCCGGAACCGAUCUAACUCCCAAAGAAAAUCAAAGAUUAGGAAUUAACCACAAAUUCUGACUCUAACUCCUUAAUUUAAUACCAGGCGCAUCCAUCAACUGAAUCCUUUUUAAGGUAAUUUCAAACAAGAAAUCCUCUCUCUGUCAUUUUUCUUUAGGAUAAAAGAGAUUAGAAACUCUUAUUCACAAACCCUGAUCCUGACUUAAACCUAACUUCCAAAGAAAAUAAAAGAUUAACAAUUAAUCACAAACUCUAACUGUAACCCCUUAAUUUAAUACAAAACGCAUCUGCCAACCGCAUCCUUAUUAUGAAAAAUAAGUUCAAACAAGUGAUUCUGUAUCCAUUCCUGCUUCCGGUCAUCAACAAUUUUGUCCAGCUUAUCUCUCAAUAUUUCUUGGGAACCAAAACAUUUGCAUAACUCGUAGAAAUUAAUGCUCCUAUUCGGACCGAAUAAAAAAAUUGCCCAGAGUACAUUCACUUUGAUCCUUGGACUUCGCACUUUGCAAUUAGCAGGGAAAGCAUAAAGACUCUUCUUUGGAAGAUGAAGAUACCAUAGAUGGUUUGGAGUCGACAAAAUUUGGGUAAAGACUCUUUUCAAAUUUGGAAAGAGUCCAUUGUAUAUUACCCAGAGGAUGAACGAUCCUUUAAAUUUGCUGAAGUUAGACACCGUUGGUCGCUGACGGAAGUUUUUCUAUUUUACCUGGAAACUGCUAGUCAACAACGGCAACUCUUAUUUCUUAUGCCUAGUGAAAUCUUUUCUUUCCUUUUAGGGAAUACCUAAUGAGAAGUUCACUCCCCAACUUCUCCAACUCCUUUGACUUAAAUAGCAGUCCGCUUAGUAAAAUAACAAAAUUUUAAUCCAUAAUUUCAUAAUAAGAGAUUAGCAACUCUUACUCACAAACUUUGAUCCUGAACAGACCUUAACUUCCAAAGAAAAUCAAAGAUUAGCAAUUAAUCACAAAUCCUAACUCUACUCCCUUAAUUUAAUACCAGGCGCAUCCGUCAACUGAAUCCUUAUUAAGGUAAUUUCAAACAAGUGAUUUUGUAUCCUUAAUUUCUCUUUAGAAAAAAAAAAAGAUAUUAGCAACUUUUACUCACAAACCUUGAUCUUGAACUGACCCUAACUCCGAAAGAAAAUCAAAGAAGGAAUUAAUAAUAAAUCAUAACUCUAACCCCUUAAUUUAAUACCAGGCGCAUCCGUCAAUUGAAUCCUUAUUAAGGGAAUUUCAAACAAAUGAUUCUCUCUCCAUCAUUUCUAAGCAUUUUGGACUCAAAAGCAAGAACUUUACGGUUCUUAUAGAUUUAAUUCAUUCAAAUACCAUCAAUAAAUAGAAGAAUUAUAAAUCUCCAAAAUAAUAGAUAGAAAUACCGCAAAUAAGGUCAUAUAGUAAGGAUUGACAGACGGCGAGCUGUUUGUUGAUAGUACAAGUGAGCAUAUCACUGUAGGUACGAGGUUGUCUACAAAGGCUUAGGUACAGUAGAACAAAUUAUCUAGUAUUUUUUGUCUUUACAUGAUCAUUAAGGUCUGUACUAAUUUUAUUGAUCACUAAAUUACACCUUCGAAUGAGAAUGACUUCAUCACACGUAUGUGUAUUCUAUAGUUUUGUCUUCUACUUUCAAGAACUAUACUCAGAUCUAUGGUAAAUUUUCAUAAACAAAAUAUACAUUCUUUCGGUGAAACAUGUAACCAUGUUUCACUUUUUCUUUUUGUCACGACCCCAACCCGGUCAUGAUGGCGCCCAGCACACUACUAGGCAAGCCCGACCUUGUUAUGAUAAUUCCCAACACUUACGCUGAUUUUAAAUAAAUAACACAGGGGAAAAAUACUAACACAUUAUAUUAAAAUUCUAGAAAUUCCGAUGAAUGGUGCGAAAGGUAACCAAUAAUUCGGAAUAUAGUCCAGCUAAGAUCUGGUGUCACGAAUCUGAGCCUCUAAUUACAUAGUUCUAUCUUAUUAUAGAGUAUGUCUAAAAGUAGAAAUGAAGAAACAAACGAAAUAAGGAUAGAAGGGAAGAAUCCAAGGCUACAAACAUCGUGCAGCUACCUCAAAACUCCCUAAAAUGUCCUUACUCAACCAGACUGGAUCUACUCAACCUGGGAAGAACCUAGAUCUACAUGCAAGGUACAAGGAGUAAAGUGAGUACUUCGAACCAGUGAGUAAUAAACGUAAAUACAGUUUGAAAGUAAGAAAUCACAGAAAAUACAAAGCAACCUAUAUCUAACAGUUCAGAUCAAUAUCGAUGUAAACAUGUAAAACCAUAACACAGUUAAGGAAAUAAUGCAUGAUGAGAUGCAGCACAUAUAACAGUACAUUCUAGUACCCGCUGCGGCGUUCAACCUACUCCACUUAUUUAACAUCGACGACACUCACUGGGGGUGUGUACAGACUUCGGAGGGUCUCCUACAGCCCAAGCACAAUACCAGCCAUCUCGUGGCAUCAAAUAGGCUCUCGGCCUCAAUAUCAAUAUAUUAUUGUUGUGGUGAGCAGCCCGAUCCACAUCAAAGAAAAACAUCGUCACUAUCGGGUCCUCGACCCAUCUUAGUCAAAUAAGUUCACAUCCACUCAGGCACAACAUACUAUAGGGAUCUCAACCAUCAUAUCCUUUUCGUUGAAUAUUCAUGUUCAAAACACAGUUCUUAUAUUAUUUUAACAAUUAAAAAUAUGACUGAGAGUAUAGUUUAUACAAAUAAGUGACGAAAACUAAUGAAGAUCCCCUAAGGAUUCUACAGGUCGGCGCAAGGUCAAAAACAUGGCAAUAAGCCCAAUUCACAGUAAUAAGGUAUGCGUCUCAAUCGCCAAUAUAGUGUAAAUAACACUCGGGAUGGACCAAGUCACAAUCACAAAUAGUAAACUACCCCGCACUCGUCAUAGAAUGCAUGACACGCCUCAAUAUAGUGUUAUGAUGUGAAAUUCUGGGGUUUCAAACCCUCAAGGCAGCAUUUAUAUUUAUUACUCACCUCUAGCUGGCCGAAGACUAGCUCACAAUGCCCUUUCCUCUCGAAUCGACUCAUCGCACGUCGAAUCUGGCCAAAACCAUAACGAAUACAUUACAAUAGGAUAAGG
rnacentral:lncRNA from 1 species